rnacentral:lncRNA from 1 species
CCUUGGCCUCCCCGAAGUGCUGGGAUUACAGGUGUGAGCCACCACAGCUGGACUUCAUUAAGGAUCUUGAGAGGAAAUCAUUCCAGAUUUAGGGUGGCCCUAAAUCCGAUGACUGGUGUCCUUAAGAGAGGACAAAGAGGGGCACGUGAAGAUGGAGGCAGAGACUGGAAUGAUGUUGCCACAUGCCAAGGAAUGUUGGGCCACCAGAAGCUGCAAGAGGCAAAGAAGAAUUCUUCCCUUACACUUUUGGAGAGAGCAUCGCCCUGUCAACUCCUUAACUUCAGACUUCUAGUCUUCGCAACUAUGAGAGAAUAAGUGCAUUUAAGCCAUGUUGUUACGGCAGCCCUAGCAGCCCUGGAAAAUGAAUACACUGAGUGCUCGGAUCCAGACCAGCAUAUGGAGCUGGUGAUCUUAUCUUGGGUUUCGUGAUGACUGUUUUCCACGUCUCCACCUUCUUCCCCAUGGCUGCACUGCACAUUUACUGUGGAUCUACACUAAGAUCUCCUCCAAAGGACAGGUAAAUGCGUGAUCACCUGAUCCCUCACCAAAGAGUAUGAGACAGAAAGAAUGGCAAGUGUUCUCUGGGAGCUGCCAAUGACCUGCCUCCAGAGAAGCCACAUACUACAUUCACGUGGAGGUUGAGCAACCACCCUCAUUUUUGGAGCCAAACUGCUUGGAUUCGAAUCUAGGAUCUACCACACACCAGUUGUACAGCAUUGGUUAAGUUACUGCAUUCCUUCUCUGAGAUUACAUCCUCUUGACUGUUUUAGUGUGAAAAUGAAAAUGUUCUUUAUUUAUGCAGUGAUAGUAGGAGAAGAUGUACCAGUGUCUUUCCUUGGACAUUAGAAAUGUAGUCUCUCAUUGGAAAUUACUCUUUCCUACUGGGCAAAAUAAAGAGUGAACAAUCUACCAUCAGGUCUCUAUGAAAGAAAACAGUACCAAUAUAAGGAAUUGGCACGCUCCAAAGAAUCAACGCUCUGCUUUCCCUCUAUUGGUAAAAUGGGGCCAAUAAUAGCAGCAUUCUGUUAAUGAAUUACAUUAGUAAAUAAAUGGCUUAAUUCAAUGUGAAGUGCUUAGAUCAGUGCCUGGCCAAUGGUAGUUGCUCAAUAAAUAACUAUAGGAACUAUUAUUACUCCACUCCUAUCAUACUCACCCAUCUCCCCACAUUACUUCUGGAAACUCCUCCUUGUCUGGCUGUACCCCCACAUGCAGGCAGCCUCCUGCCUCAGGUGCCUUGUUCUGAAAGCCUACAAAUCCCUUCUCAGAUUCCUGCAGAUGCCCAGGGCUCAACAGGGCACAUCUGGCCUUGGUCCUGAUUAGCUUGGAUUGUCCGGUCCAGGCUGAGCUACUCGCCUGGAAUCCCUGCCUUCAGCUCCUCUGCAGCUCUGUGAGCUUCUCUGGGGAUACUCGUUGACGGCCAAGAUGCCUCUCCUGGAACAUAUUGGUGAAGACUCGGCUGCCUUGGCUUUUGUGAUGGGCUUUAUUUUCCUCUAAGAUCUGACAUUCGAUACUUACCACUUAAUAGUCAUUUAUUUAACACCUUUUUCUUUCCUGAUGUCAGGAAGGACAAACAUUUUGGCAGAGGCUUAUCAGCCACCUGCAUCUCUGCCAACUUUUGAGGGAUGUGGUUACGUUUUCUAGAUCCUAACAUCAGAACUCUCUCUCUCUCUCUCUAACAUCAGAACUCUCUCUCUCUCUCUCUCUCUGGGCUCCAGGGCCACUGCUCCUUGUCUAGUCCCCCCAGCCCAGGUGGAGGGGUGCCCUGCUGUGGCUAAGCCCUGGGCUGCUCUGUUUUCUUAGUUGGACACUGAAUGAGACCGCUGCAGAGUGUGCUGUCUAUUCAAACUUGUGAUAUCUCCUUCAUAAUCUUAAACUGACUUCACAUACCCCAAAGCAGCAUUAAUCAGAUCUGCGCAGGUGAACUCUGGGUUCUUAGGCUGGGAGGAGGGUGGGGUGGGGUAACGAUCAGAUAACAGAGCCCCCAGGUUUGUGCAGGUGAAGCCACAUCACCUGCCAGCCUGGGAAGACAUAUCCUUCCCUCUAACCAAGGAAGAAAGUCCUGUGAGGGUGGGGGAGAUCCAGUCUGCAGGCUGUAGGCAUCAGGGGCAGGGACUGGGAGAACAGGGGCAUCUGCCCUUUUUCUAAAGCGAGGGGCUGCUGCUGACUGCUGCUGGGACUGAGACCUUCUGAUUUACCAAGAUAAGCCAGAAAUGGUGUUCUCUUUGUGAAAUCUCCCAAGUUUUAAAUAUUGGCAACAAAGUCAAAGUUUUCCAAAACACUGGAUGGCCAAAGAAAGCACAUCUGUGGGGUAGACUCACCCUGUGGGCCUUCAGUCUGCGACCUCUGACUAGUUACUAAGGAAGAAAUUAAAAGGAAGAGGGAGUGGUGGUGAGCGCAUCCCUGCCUUACCCUCCUGGAGAUUCCCUUGGAGGCAGGAAAAGCCCAGCCCUCUUGACCCCUGCGGCUCUCAGAAGCCUGAAGUUCAGCCUCUGUGGCAGCAUCAAUAACUAGGGUCUACACUGAGAUCAUCCAACUUAGCCCAUAACCGAUUCCUAACCGUGGAGUCAAAGGCCAGGGAGGGGUCAACAGGAGCCAGAAACCAGCCUGUGCGCGCCUCAUGGACUCUCACGAGAAGCAUAAGCAGAGAUCAGGGCUGGACCACACAUCUGCAGCCCCCUGACCUUGGCAUGGUCUGCAGCACGUGGCUGGAAAAGCCCAGCUGGUGACUCUAGGGGAGGAUGGUGUGCAUUUUCUAUGCAGCGUGUUAUAGGUCAGGAGGCCUGGAAUGGGAAAGCCAGAGGUCUCUCUUGGAGGAUGAGGAGCAAAGGCAGCCUUGUAGGGUUGCCUCUACUUACAAUUUGCUGUGUGAUCUUCCGGAGAACAAAUAGUGCCUCAGUUUAUCCAUCUUUAAAAUGGCAGUAAACAUAUGAGAACCCAGCACCCUUGAGGAUGGGCACCAAGAACCGUAUUUGUGGAUUUGAUGAAGAUAAAGAAAACUAGUUGCCAAGGAGUAGUGUGGCCUUUGAUCACUCUCUCAGGUCCUGUAUUUGGCAGCAAUGAGUAGGAAAAUCACCCAUGAAUUAGGAGGGAUCUUCAUACAGACUAAGUCAAAAGGCAGCCUGUGUCUUGCAAAGAGACAGCGACCUUUCACUCUGUCAUUCUUUGGGGACACUCCCUUCAAGCUCCCUGGCCUUAAUUUUCACAGAUGAGGGUGAUAUCUGACCCCCUAAUUAGUUACUAGACAACACGAUGGCCCCUAAGUACCAAUAAUAAGGUGUUUCCACUCCAGGUCCUCAGCAAAGGGAACAACCUGAAAUUCUCUCCUGUGGAAGACGUGUUGAAAGCCCAACUGAGAGACAGUGUUGGCUGAGGAGCCUAGUGAACUGGGGUCCACCUCUCCUGCUGGAGGCUCUGAAGUCGACCCUGGAGCAGCAGAGCCCCCUGAGGGUCCCACCUGCACAGCAUUGCUUUGGUUCACAGCCGCACUGACCUAACACCGCCAGCCUGAGGAAAGGAGGAUGGUCAGAGCGCCCUGCAGGGCUCACUGUGCUCCCUGGAAGGAAGCUUUGGAGCCUGGUGUUUACUAACCUGCACAGUGUGUGUCCCUGCGAAGAGGUCCCACGACAAAGUGUUCUCUCUCAUCAGAGCAGGGGAAAAGGCUGAGUUUCUAUCUCACAGAUACUGACUCACGUAGCUGAAACAAUUGCCCUCUCCAAGUCAGCUGCCAGAACGCUCAGAGAGAAAUCUGUGGGCCACCUCUUACAAAUGUAUAGGCGAUUCCACAGUUUGUGUACUAGCCUCCCCGUUACUUCUUUUGUAAAUAUUCAAUCUUAUUGUGUUGCAUAUAUUUAGGUAAAUGCUCUAAUUCCUUUUGGGACCAAGACAGGUUCAUACACAGGCACUAAAAAGGUGAGAAAACAAACAAACAAAAAAUCCUCACGUCAUCACAGAUUGGCUACUUUAAUGAUUCUGCCUUUAGUUUCCCUCCUAUCCCCAAAAAUUCUGUAUCAUAUCAUACUUGGAAUAUGAGUUUUCACAUUUACCAAAAUAAUAGGGUAUCUUAAUUUUUUUUUUU